UGAGCGAGCAAACCGUUUUCUCUAAAUUCCUCAGUAGAAGUAAGGAUCGAGGCAUUCAACAUCAGCAUGCAGGGACGCUUGGUGGUCGUUGUGGCUGCUCUGGUGGUGAUGUGUCAGCAGACCACGUCCCUUGCCACGUCGGCAGACGCGAAUGCUAUGAAUCCGAGUCUUUUUGGUGUGCUGACUAAAGGAGAGACGAACUCUGUUGUCCGUACACUAGUAUCUGGCCCCUGUACAUGUGACUUCAUAGGACCUUGUUCUUGUGGACCUUUCGCUGUCGUCAUAAAUUAAAUGACAGGCUGUGUACACAUCUCGUGCUGAAUAAAUAAGAUAUGAAUUGUAUUAUAUACAGGACAACACCUUGCCUGUAGUAAUCAACACAAGCAAUAAACAGUUAUUGAAAAAGC